UAACCGCCAAGCAUAUCAGAAGAUUCCGUCUGUUGAGACAUAUUAAUUACAGUAACUUUCUGACCUAACAAGCCAGCUAAAAGUUGGAUAGUAGUGGUCUUACCAGUACCAGUCUCACCAACUAGAAGCAAUGGUUCGUUUGUUUGAACACCUGCAGCCAGCUGUUCCAAUAAGCCAAGAGAUGAAGAUGUGAAAGCAUAUGAAUUAGUGGAACAAGAACGAAUAGUAGACAAUUUCUUAAGUGAACAUCUACCUAUGUUUAUGUUAUGUUCCAAAUUUUGAAAUACAGGAAUAGAAUAUCGUAAUUGUAAAGCCUUUUCAGGUGGUAUAUUUAACUCUAUAGCGACGUUACGCACCACAAGAUCAAAACCGUCUCUAGAAGGAAUAAACGCACCAAACAUAUCGAUAGCCUCUUUAAAAACUG